GGUAAACGCUGGCGGCGUGCCUAAAACAUGCAAGUCGAACGAGGAACUUCGGUUCCGAGUGGCAGACGGCUGAGUAACACGUGGAUGACCUGCCCAACUGUGGGGAAUAACUGCCCGAAAGGGUGGCUAAUACCGCAUGCGCUCACUGAUUCAUUUCAGUGAGGAAAGCCGCAAGGCGCAGAUGGAGGGGUCCGCGGCCGAUUAGCUAGUUGGUGGGGUAACGCCUACCAAGGCGACGAUCGGUAGCUGGUCUGAGAGGAUGAUCAGCCAGACUGGGACUGAGACACGGCCCAGACUCCUACGGGAGGCAGCAGUUAGGAAUUUGGCAAUGGCGAAAGCCUGACCCAGCAACGCCGCGUGGGUGACGAAGGCCUUCGGU
rnacentral:rRNA from 1 species